AUUGAACGCUGGCGGCAGGCCUAACACAUGCAAGUCGAACGAGUGGCGGACGGGUGAGUAAUGUCUGGGAAACUGCCCGAUGGAGGGGGAUAACUACUGGAAACGGUAGCUAAUACCGCAUACCAUCGGAUGUGCCCAGAUUGGAUUAGCUUGUAGGUGAGGUAACGGCUCACCUAGGCGACGAUCCCUAGCUGGUCUGAGAGGAUGACCAGGAACAGUGGAACUGAGAAACUGUCCAGACCGCUACGGGAGGCAGGAGUGGGGAAUAUUGCACAAUGGGCGCAAGCCUGAUGCAGCCAUGCCGCGUGUAUGAAGAAGGCCUUCGGGUUGUAAAGUACUUUCAGCGGGGAGGCGUUACCCGCAGAAGAAGCACCGGCUAACUCCGUGCCAGCAGCCGCGGUAAUAC
rnacentral:rRNA from 1 species